CCAUCGCCCCACAGCCACACGCUCCCCUACAGACGUCCUGACAGCACAGCCCUCACCAUGGACUGGAGAUGGACAGUCCUCUUCCUGGUGGCAGUGGCGACAGGUGUCCACUCCGAGGUCCAGCUGGUGCAGCCUGGGGCUGAGGUGAGGAAGCCUGGGGCCUCCGUGAAGGUGUCCUGCAAGGCUUCCGGAUACACCUUCACCAGCUAUGCUAUGCACUGGGUGCGACAGGCCCCAGGACAAGGGCUUCAGUAUAUUGGAUGGAUCAACACAAAUACAGGAAACCCAACAUACGCCCAAGGAUUCUCAGAUAGAUUUGUGUUCUCCAUGGACACCUCUGUCAGCACGGCCUAUCUGCAGAUAAACAGCCUGAAGUCUGAGGACACGGCUGUGUAUUACUGUGCGAAGGACACAGUGAGACGACCCACAUCCUGA